rnacentral:rRNA from 1 species
UACGUAGGGGGCAAGCGUUGUCCGGAGUUACUGGGCGUAAAGAGCUCGUAGGCGGCUUGUCGCGUCGGAUGUGAAAGCCCGGGGCUUAACUCCGGGUCUGCAUUCGAUACGGGCAGGCUAGAGUUCGGUAGGGGAGAUCGGAAUUCCUGGUGUAGCGGUGAAAUGCGCAGAUAUCAGGAGGAACACCGGUGGCGAAGGCGGGUCUCUGGGCCGUUACUGACGCUGAGGAGCGAAAGCGUGGGGAGCGAACAGG